CUGCUGCCUCCCGUAGGAGUCUGGUCCGUGUCCCAGUACCAGUGUGGGGGACCUUCCUCUCAGAACCCCUACGCAUCGUCGCCUUGGUGGGCCGUUACCCCCGCCAACAAGCUAAUGCGACGCAUGACCAUCCGUAGCCGGAAUCGCUUCCUUUAAACCCACAGAGAUGCCUCCAUGGGUUGUUACGCGGUAUUAGACGGAAUUUCUUCCGCUUAUCCCCCUGCUACGGGCAGGUUUCAUACGUGUUACUCACCCGUGCGCCGGUCGCCGGCGGGAG
rnacentral:rRNA from 1 species